AAACAGCUGCAUAGAAUAGCUCGCUGCUGACGAGCGGCGGACGGGUGAGUAAUGCAUAGGAGUCUGCCCCGAUAGUUGUGGAUAACCUUGGGAAACCCCAGGUUAAUACCGCAUAUGUCUACGGGAGAAAGAGGGGCUCCUGCUCCCCGCUAUUGGAUGAGCCUAUUUCGGAUUAUCUGGUUGGUGAGGUAAAGGUUCACCAAGUCGACGAUCCGUAGCUGGUCUGAGAGGAUGAUCAGCCACAUCGGGAGUGAGACACGGUCCGAACUCCUACGGGAGGCAGCAGUGGGGAAUAUUGGACAAUCGGGGCAACCCUGAUCCAGCCAUGCCGCGUGUGUGAAGAAGGCCCUCGGGUUGUAAAGCACUUUCAGUGAGGAAGAACGCCUGGUGGUUAAUACCCAUCAGGAAAGACAUCACUCACAGAAGAAGCACCGGCUAAUUCCGUGCCAGCAGCCGCGGUAAUACGGAGGGUGCGAGCGUUAAUCGGAAUUACUGGGCGUAAAGCGCGCGUAGGUGGCUUGAUAAGCCGGUUGUGAAAGCCCCGGGCUCAACCUGGGAACGGCAUCCGGAACUGUCAAGCUAGAGUGCAGGAGAGGAAGGUAGAAUUCCCGGUGUAGCGGUGAAAUGCGUAGAGAUCGGGAGGAAUACCAGUGGCGAAGGCGGCCUUCUGGACUGACACUGACACUGAGGUGCGAAAGCGUGGGUAGCAAACAGGAUUAGAUACCCUGGUAGUCCACGCCGUAAACGUAUGUGGGCCAGCCGUUGGGUGCCUAGCGCACUUUGUGGCGAAGUUAACGCGAUAAGUCGACCGCCUGGGGAGUACGGCCGCAAGGUUAAAACUCAAAUGAAUUGACGGGGGCCCGCACAAGCGGUGGAGCAUGUGGUUUAAUUCGAUGCAACGCGAAGAACCUUACCUACUCUUGACAUCCUGCGAAUUUGGUAGAGAUACCUUGGUGCCUUCGGGAACGCAGAGACAGGUGCUGCAUGGCUGUCGUCAGCUCGUGUUGUGAAAUGUUGGGUUAAGUCCCGUAACGAGCGCAACCCUUGUCCUUAUUUGCCAGCGCGUAAUGGCGGGAACUCUAAGGAGACUGCCGGUGACAAACCGGAGGAAGGUGGGGAC
rnacentral:rRNA from 1 species